AUACCAGUAUUCUGGUAUACUAGUAAUUUAAAUUGUGUUUGUAAUUGUGUGUUUAUAUUUGCAGUUGUGGAUUAUUGUCUUUAAAAGACAUGUAAUUUUUUUCUUUUUCCAAUAAUGCAUAGAUUUAGUUCAAUAGUUCAUGUAUUUAUAACUGUCUACCUGGUACUUUCUAUUUCUGUUGAUGCAAUAUUUUCUGUGAAUUGUAAAAUUGAGAUCACCAACAAAUUUUGAAAUGUUUUUUUUUACACCCAUUGUUUUCCUAUGCUCUGGUUCAUUACAUGUUACAGGGCCAUCUCAAAACAAAACUUUUGCAUAAUUUGUUGUAUAUAAAUUGUAUAUUUAAACAAACCCAGUGAAUGAAUGGCUUGAUCAGCAGGUCAAUUAAUCAAACACUUCUUUGAAAUAUACAGGCCAAUAGUGAACAAAAAUCUAUAUACUUGUAACUAUUCACUCAAACUGCUUUAAAAUGUAUUUAUUAAGUAAAAUGUGUACAUGGCAUCGAAGUUGCUAUAGAGUGAUCAUAUGAUGCAUUUACGGUAGUAUGCAUUGAAAUCUGCUGAGUUAAUGAUAUACAUGACAUUUUAUGUCUUUCAGUUUUGUGUGAUUCGUCCUACUUAAAAUCUGAACAAGUAGCUUUGCGAUCUUUGUGUUCUGCACGACAAACAGGGGUAUUCUGUCAAUUUUAUAACAUACAGAACAAUUUUAUUAUCACUUUUUGGAGAUUACUGCAUGUUCAUUUGAAGUAAUGACUUUGAAAGGUGUUUUGCAUUAGACAACUUUUAUAAUUUUAUCUUUUUAAUAAAUUAUGUUAAACUUC
rnacentral:misc_RNA from 1 species